rnacentral:tRNA from 2 species
GCCCAGGUGGUGGAAUUGGUAGACACACCAGCUUGAGGGGCUGGCGCCCGUUUAGGGUGUGCAAGUUCGAGUCUUGUCCUGGGCA